rnacentral:rRNA from 1 species
UACGUAGGGGGCAAGCGUUGUCCGGAAUCAUUGGGCGUAAAGCGCGCGUAGGCGGUCAGAAAAGUCCGCUGUGAAAACUCGAGGCUCAACUUCGAGCUGUCGGUGGAAACUUUCUGGCUAGAGUCCGGAAGAGGAGAAUGGAAUUCCUGGUGUAGCGGUGAAAUGCGCAGAUAUCAGGAAGAACACCCGUGGCGAAGGCGGUUCUCUGGGACGGUACUGACGCUGAGACGCGAAAGCGUGGGGAGCGAACAGG